UACGGGGGGUGCAAGCGUUAUUCGGAAUUAUUGGGCGUAAAGGGCGCGUAGGCGGAUUUAUAAGUCAGGGGUGAAAUACCUGGGCUUAACCGCGGAAGUGCCUUUGAUACUAUGAGUCUUGAGCACGGGAGAGGGGAGUGGAAUUCCUAGUGUAGAGGUGAAAUUCGUAGAUAUUAGGAAGAACACCAGUGGCGAAGGCGGCUCACUGGUCCGUUGCUGACGCUGAGGUGCGAAAGCGUGGGGAGCAAACAGG
rnacentral:rRNA from 1 species